rnacentral:rRNA from 1 species
AAGCAUUGAGGCAGUCAAAGUAGGCAAAUCCGCUUUGAUAAUGCUGGGAUGUGAUGGGGAGCGAAAUUUAGUAGCGAAGUAGCUGAUUUCACACUGUCAAGAAAAGUCUCUAUCGAGGUUAAAGGUACCCGUACCGCAAACCGACACAGGUGGGUGAGGAGAGUAUCCUAAGGCCAGCGAGAGAACUGUUGUUAAGGAACUCGGCAAAAUGACCCCGUAACUUAGGGAUAAGGGGUGCCACCAUCAGGUGGCCGCAGAGAAUAGGCCCAAGCGACUGUUUACCAAAAACAUAGGUUUCUGCUAAGUCGCAAGACGAUGUAUAGGAGCUGACGCCUGCCCGGUGCUGGAAGGUUAAGGGGAUCUGUUAGAGCAAUCGAAGCAGUGAACUUAAGCCCCAGUAAACGGCGGCCGUAACUAUAACGGUCCUAAGGUAGCGAAAUUCCUUGUCGGGUAAGUUCCGACCCGCACGAAAGGCGUAACGAUUUGGGCACUGUCUCAACAACAGACUCGGUGAAAUUGUAAUUCCGGUGAAGAUGCCGGAUACCUGCGACAGGACGGAAAGACCCCAUGGAGCUU